rnacentral:rRNA from 1 species
AUACGUAGGUGGCAAGCGUUGUCCGGAUUUACUGGGCGUAAAGGGUGCGUAGGUGGAUAUUUAAGUGAGAUGUGAAAUCCCCGAGCUUAACUUGGGGCCUGCAUUUCAAACUGGAUAUCUAGAGUGCAGGAGAGGAAAGCAGAAUUCCUAGUGUAGCGGUGAAAUGCGUAGAGAUUAGGAAGAAUACCAGUGGCGAAGGCGGCUUUCUGGACUGUAACUGACGCUGAGGCAUGAAAGCGUGGGGAGC